rnacentral:rRNA from 1 species
CCUACGGGGUGCUGCAGUGGGGAAUAUUGCGCAAUGGGCGAAAGCCUGACGCAGCGACGCCGCGUGAGGGAUGAAGGUCUUCGGAUCGUAAACCUCUGUCAGCAGGGAAGAACGGUCACUGUGCUAAUCAGCAGUGAAUUGACGGUACCUGCAAAGGAAGCACCGGCUAACUCCGUGCCAGCAGCCGCGGUAAUACGGAGGUUGCGAGCGUUAAUCGGAAUUACUGGGCGUAAAGCGCUCGUAGGCGGUAUGUCAAGUCAAGGGGGAAAUCCCCGCGCUCAACGUGGGAACUGCCUUUGAAACUGGCAAACUGGAGUGUGUGAGAGGAUAGUGGAAUUCCAGGUGUAGGAGUGAAAUCCGUAGAUAUCUGGAGGAACAUCAGUGGCGAAGGCGACUAUCUGGCACAUAACUGACGCUGAGGAGCGAAAGCGUGGGUAGCAAACAGGAUUAGAUACCCCAGUAGUC